UUUUUAACCCUCCCACCCCUCUCCAUACCCUUCCAACUUUACUUUUCCAACAUUUCAACACCUUAAACUCUAUCUUAACUUACCCUAAACUAAAACAUGUCCCUCAAUCAUUUCUAAUUGUGUAAAUCACAAUUACUAUAUUUUAUUAUCAUACAUUAUAACUUCACGGACAAAGAUAGAAAAUAUACAGAUGUAUGAAAUAGAAAUACUACAAUAAAUAAAUUCCUAAUUUCACAUCAACCUCUAAAAGCUUCCCUUCCAGGUGCAUACAUUAUAACUAAUCACGGACAAAGAUAGAAAAUACUACAGAUGUAUAAGAAUAUUAAAGAAUAUACUACAUAUAAUAUAUAAUUCCUAAUUUCGAGUACGAAUCAUUUUGACAGCUCUCGAAAAGCUUCCCUUCCAGGUGCAAUUAAGCGACGAGGGAUAAGAGAGUGAAGCAGGAGGAAUGGGUAUCCCCGGACAUUCCGACAAAACGAAUUCGAGGCGCACGAGCACCAUUCUAUCCACUCUUUUAGCUAGAUCGACCAUCACUGUGUCUUUGUGAAACUAUCAUAUGCAAAAGAUCAUGAAUAUAACAUAAUUGCAAAGAUAUAAAUUACAUCCUAGAUGGUAUAAAAUUUGAAAGGUAGACACCCUCCAAC
rnacentral:lncRNA from 1 species